rnacentral:rRNA from 1 species
CCUACGGGAGGCAGCAGUAGGGAAUCUUCCGCAAUGGACGAAAGUCUGACGGAGCAACGCCGCGUGAACGAUGAAGGCCUUCGGGUCGUAAAGUUCUGUUGUUAGGGAAGAACAAGUGCUAGUUGAAUAAGCUGGCACCUUGACGGUACCUAACCAGAAAGCCACGGCUAACUACGUGCCAGCAGCCGCGGUAAUACGUAGGUGGCAAGCGUUGUCCGGAAUUAUUGGGCGUAAAGCGCGCGCAGGCGGUUCCUUAAGUCUGAUGUGAAAGCCCCCGGCUCAACCGGGGAGGGUCAUUGGAAACUGGGAAACUUGAGUGCAGAAGAGGAAAGUGGAAUUCCAAGUGUAGCGGUGAAAUGCGUAGAGAUUUGGAGGAACACCAGUGGCGAAGGCGACUUUCUGGUCUGUAACUGACGCUGAGGCGCGAAAGCGUGGGGAGCAAACAGGAUUAGAUACCCUGGUAGUCCACGCUGUAAACGAUGAGUGCUAAGUGUUAGAGGGUUUCCGCCCUUUAGUGCUGAAGUUAACGCAUUAAGCACUCCGCCUGGGGGAGGUGCGGUCGCGAAGACUAGAACUACAAAGAAGUAGUAGGACGNGNGAGAGCGACGACGACGACGACGGAGGGAGGAGG